GCGUUUAGGGGGAGCGAUCCCUCGGCGUGCUGCCAAACUCCGAAGGUGUAAUCGUUGAAGAAACGAGCAGUGAGUGAUGGUGGGUAAGCUACCAUUACGCAAGGUGAACAAACCAGCCUGAAGUUAAGGUCCCUAAAUAUCAGUUAAGUGUCACAGACAAACCGUGUCCGUGGUCGAAAACAACCAGAAGGUGGGCUUAGAAGCAGCCAUCCUUGAAAGAGUUCGUAACAGAUCACUGGUCUAGCUUGCGGGCCGGGAAAAGGGACGGGGCUCAAACUGAUUACCGAUACUUCAGACCAUCGAAAGAUGAUGUGGUAACGCGGCGUCGUGCAUGGGCGGAAGGUAGGCUUUGAGGUCUACUGGACCGUGUACGAAUGAGAGUCUUGGGAAGAGUAGCAGCACAGUGUGGUGAGAAUCCGCACCGCCUUAUAAACCAGGGUUCCUCGGCACUGUUUAUCAGCCGAGGGUUAGCCGGUCCUAAGGUCAUUCUUAACCGAAAUGAUCGAAAGGGAAUGGCGUUAAUAUUCGUCAGCCCCCUACACCACGUAUGGUGACGGCUUGGGCAAAGUCAUUGGAUCAUAUGCCAGGUCCACUGAUAACUAAUUUCUGGAGAACUGUCAUAGUGAGAAGGAAAGAAAGUCCCAGGUCCCAUGAAAAGCCGUGUAGGGUGACCGUACCGAGAACUGAAACAGGUGUUUUUGGGUGAGUAGCCUAAGGCGUAUCGGAUACAAAUAUCGCGAGGGAACUCGGCAAAAUAGCUCCGUAACUUCGGGAGAAGGAGUGCCAGAUUGGGAACAAUCUGGUCGCAGUGACUAGGGAGCUCCGACUGUUUAAUAAAAACAUAGGGGACUGCCAGAUCGAAAGGUUGUGUAUAGUCCCUGAAUCCUGCUCAGUGCUGGUAUCUUAAAUCGGGUUUCAACCUGACGAAGGACCAGUAAACAGCGGGGGUAACUAUGACCCUCUUAAGGUAGCGUAAUACCUUGUCGCUUAAUUGGCGACUUGCAUGAAUGGUCCAACGAGGGCUCCACUGUCCCCGCGAUAUGUCCGGCGAAAUUGACUUUACUGGCGCACAGUCCAGUACAUUCUACCCGCAAGCGAAGACCCCAUAGAGCUUUACUGCAGCCUGUCGUUGCAUAGUCGCUUUCCAUGUACUGUGUAGGUGGGAGACGUUGAUCCCUGGGACGCCAGUCCCGGGGGGAGUCGAAAGAAGAGACACCACCCUUGGAAGGUAACUAUGCUAACUCUUUACGAGGACACCGAUUGGUGGGCAGUUUGGGUGGGGCGCCACGCGCUCGAAAACCUAACAAGCGUGCCCAAAGGUCAGCUUAGGUGGUUCAGCACUCCACCGAUAACUGUAAGGGGAAAAGCUGGCUUGACGUGGAUCUGCACAAUGAGGAUCGACGAUGCGAAAGCAGGGCCUAACGAACCUACCAGCCUUAUUUCUGAGGGCGGUAGAUAACAGAAAAGUUACCUUGGGGAUAAUUGAGUUGUCACCAGCAAGAGCUCACAUCGACCUGGUGGCUUGCUACUUCGAUGUCGUCUCUUCCUAUCCUGGGUCUGCAGCAGGACCCAAGGGUGGGGUUGUUCGCCCAUUAAAAGGGAUCGUGAGAUGGGUUUAGACCGUCGUGAGACAGGUUUGUUGCUUGGUGGUAGAAUCGCGUAAGGUGUCUGAUGGAAGGGGCCCUUUAGUACGAGAGGAACGAGGGCUCGGGGCCACUAGUUUACCAGUUGUCUGGCAAGGCAAUGCUGGGUAGCCACGCCCUGAAGGAUAAGAGCUGAAAGCAUCUAAGCUCGAAGCCACCCCAAAGACGAGACACCUCAGAACGCUCGUAAAAGACGAGAUGAUAGACUGCGGAUGUAAGUACGAAGCUACGGCGACGUAUUCAGUCCAGCAGCACUAAUGUUCGAGCAUCUUUUUU
rnacentral:rRNA from 1 species